rnacentral:rRNA from 1 species
CGCAACCUACGGGGGGCAGCAGUAGGGAAUCUUCCACAAUGGACGAAAGUCUGAUGGAGCAACGCCGCGUGAGUGAAGAAGGGUUUCGGCUCGUAAAGCUCUGUUGGUAGUGAAGAAAGAUAGAGGUAGUAACUGGCCUUUAUUUGACGGUAAUUACUUAGAAAGUCACGGCUAACUACGUGCCAGCAGCCGCGGUAAUACGUAGGUGGCAAGCGUUGUCCGGAUUUAUUGGGCGUAAAGCGAGUGCAGGCGGCUUAAUAAGUCU